UUCGAUAUUAAAUUAAAACCAACAGUGCGGAUAACUGUCCAUGUUAAACUACCACAAAUAUGAAAAUGAAGGCUCAUAUGUGGUCAGAUAUUCAAACAGCAUUGUGGUCAAAUGGAAUUCUUACCUGAUGUUCACAGUGGCAAAGUUGCUAACUCACAGUGCCGGAGACCUGGGUUUGAGCCUGACUAAAGAUGCAGGCUGUGUGGAGUUUGUACAUUCUCCCUAUCUCCCUGGUUUUUUUAAGUGAAGCAGUAUGAAAAUGUAAGCAUCAGUGAUAGGAUGAGAAUGUUUAUACUGACGAAUUGUAAUAUUUAUGUUGGCCUAAAAUAGGACACCUUGAUAGUGUCCUCUGUGAUGUUCAAAGGAAAGACUUUGAACUCUUGAAGUGAGUGUGUGUGUGUGUGUGUGUGUGUGUGUGUGUGUGUGUGUGUGUGUG